UAUGCGUGGCGGGCGAGGGCGAUGUCUCUGGUCACAUCGGUGUGUCACUCCUCGGCGUGUAUGGCGUCUCGCUGGCGGGCGUGGUGCAGUGGGCGGUAGCGGCCGAGCGCACUGAACCUCCCGCUGGAUUUGUCCAACGAUGUAUCUCAAUGUCCUUUACGAUCUUCAGUAUUGUUUUGUCCGCGUCCACAAACACACUGUCGGGCAAGACGACGGACGUGCUUCUGCUCUCCCUAGAAGCAAACAAGCGGUCUACUCCAUCUAGCACCUCGAAGAGCAACCGCAGUGCAGACCGCCCCUUGCAGGCUUCAGAUCACCCACAAGAAUGUUGCGAAUUUGGGCGGACAUACUAGCUCUUACUACUUGAGUACUUGUUGGUCCGCCACAGAGCGGCUCCCGCUCCAAGUUGGCCACAAAACCCCAGGAGCAUGUUGAGGGCAUAAGACAAGCAAAUAACAAGAAAUCCGCCAAACAUUGUGUGUUCAACUUCGUUUUUCGUUCUGGGGAUUGCCUCUUUGUUGGCCUCCAGUGUGGGCGCUGAAGUAUUCCGAGGCAAUCUUUGACAGGAGUUGAUGUAUUCUUUUUCUUUUACUUGAUUUAGCAAAUUUCAAAAUUCUAUGCAAAUUUUAUAACUCA